AGUAACAAUCGUAGUCAUUAAUAGCAAAUCAUUCGACAUUUACUUGAAUUUCUAGUGGGUAUAUUGCUGUCAUACCCUUGUGUUCAUAGUACAUAUGUAUAUGUAUAUUAGUAAGUACAUGUUUCGCACAACAGUUUUUAAUGCAAAGGACAAUCCGAUAGCGACAACUUUUCUAAUGAAGAAUUUUUUCAAUUUGCUUGUUUUUGAUCACUACAAGAGUUGGAAUCAUAACAACCAGGAAACACAAUGUUUUUUGCAGCCCCCACUCUAUCCGACUGUAAUUCGAAGAUUUUUUCAUUUUUGUUUAAUAUUCUUUAAAUGGCAAUGAAAAUCAUAUAAAAAGAUGGAUAGUAACAA